AUCCCUCCUGGCCAGGCACGCACCAAGCUGUUUGAGUUGCAGGGCGAGAACGAAAGCUAUGAAAAAAGUGGAGACAGAUGGUUUGUUGAAGGUUAUCUCUCAACAACAACGUCGGUAUCUGCUCUAAGUAUAUCUUUCCUCCUGCUGCAGGUGUUCCCAGCAGCGAGACUUCCUAGACGCUACAUUGGACAACACAGAGCUGUUCAUCUGUGGGGAAGUAUUCAACAGGGCUCAUUUGUUGAACGUUUUUAGAUUAUAAGGAGCCCAGCCUGGCCCACAGGAACAUCCAGCCUCCAUGCAAUCAUUGCUUCAGGCGGUAUCGAAGCCAUCGGUACUGUGGAGCACCCCAAAGUUUCAAGUGAUAUCUUCGUCUCCUGUAUUAAGCACAAACAAAUGACCAAUGCACGUUAUCCUGAUCUCGGCACAACGGUUAAAAAUAGAAGGCAGAGGAACAGGACGUGGCUGAAGGGGAGGCAGCGAAAUUUUGGAUGGGUUGCGAGUACUCCGUGCCUGAUUCUGCACCGCCUUAGGGAGCCAGGAAUCCUCUUUUUCAGUCUGCGGUGUCUGCUGGGAUUGCCAGGUUUUCAGGGUCACAACUGUGUUGUUUAGUGCGGUGAAGAGCCCAGCCUAAUAAAGCCCCUGUCUUGACCUUGGCACCGAGGAAUGGUUGCAAUGCACAUAAUUAGUAACACCUGUGCGAAAAGAAAGCAAAACGGUACUGCUCUGGUCUGGAGGCCUGGUGCGCUCGCUGUACUCCCUGCCGAGGGCUGGGAUGAUGACACAACAUGCAAGGCGAUGAUGAAGAUCUCUGAUGAAGAAGAUAGUUUCCUUAGGGGCAGGGGAAUCCAUGCCCAUCCAUUCCAGGGAUCACUUCCCAGUUCCUCCAGACGGUAGAAUAAAACUCUGUGCCUCCCCAGGGGAAGGAGGGGUGGGAAGUGAUAUGCCCUUUGCUUGCAAAGAAGCUGUGAGAUAAAUUCCUUAUUACUGCAGGACUGGCAGGAUAUCAGUGGUGUCUCGGGGGAAAUCCUGGUUCCAUGGACAUCACUGUUUUGUUUUGUUUUUAUCAUUGAUUUCACUGGGAAUUGGGAUUGAACCCCUACAUUAGUGGUGUGGUGAGGCUUAAUUCAUUAAAUAGACACUCCUCUGCAGAAGCUCCAUUGCCCCCUUGACAGAUAGCCCUGCUUAUUCUCUUUUUUUAACCAUUCAUCAUAUCUUGGAAGAAUGCACAGUUUCUUUAAGCUGGGAAGGGAAUAGACUUUGCAUUUCCUAGAAACUUCCACUUUAUCAAUCCCCCCCUCCCCUUUUUUUGCCCUGGAAUUUAAACAAAACUACAACAAAAAACCCCAAAAUGUCUCAGUACACAACAUUUUCAUUGGGGAGGGGGAUCCUUUUUGGUUGACUGAAAGAGUUUGGUUCCAUUUCAGCUUAUUAUUAUUGUUAUUAUUAUUACUAUUAUUGUCGUUUAAUUUGAUAUAAUAAAAAACAUUUCUAAAAAUG